rnacentral:lncRNA from 1 species
GAGCAAUGUUUAUAGUGAACUAAGUAUAUCGAACCACAUAAGAUAUACAAACUAUAAAUGCUUAAGGGACUAAUACUCUCUGACAAAACAAAUUUUCUUUUUACACUUAAGCAGCAUUUCGUUCAACUUAAAUUGAUAGUUCAUUUAAGUACAAUUACAUGCAUACCACAAACUAUUUUCAUGUUAUACAACUAUACAAGUAUUUAGACAAGUUGACACUACGAUUGAGACUCGAUAUAUGUAAUCAGAUUUUGGACAAAUAUAGCGUGAUCAACUAUAUUUGCCCAAGAUUGGACCAACGUAUAUCGAGGAAUGAUCGUAGUAAGCAACAAGUCAAAACUUACCAAACCAUUACAAGAAUCAAACACAAGAAUUUAAAUACUAUAGGAGUAUUUGCUAUCUAAACUAGUUUAACUUACAUGUUUUACAUGUUCCGACUUUAUUCAAUUCUUAUAACCCUAUUUCUCGUACAGUCAAAUGGCUGGAUUUCACCACCCUGGCGACCCCUACUUUCCCAACCAAGGCAACGGAGGAUGGAUCGAAGAUGAUCCCGAAGAGGACGAGGAACCCAUAGAAGUGGGUGAUGACUCCGGUACCGACUCAGAGCCGGAAGUUAUCGAUCCACCACCCAUUCAACCUCCCGUCUUCGUAAGGAACUUUCAAGGACCGACUCCCGUCUGGGGAAGUCACCUCCACCAUUGGAGCCAACAGCAAAACCUACGCCCUCCCUACGGCAUGUGCCGGGACUUCUAUGAUGUCCGCGGCGGAGGUUCGGCUGAUCGAGCACUCCCGGUAAUGGUGGGUAAGUUAGCCAAUCAGUCCUAUCAGUCUGGAGUACAAGCUAGUCGACUCCGGGAUAUCAACGUGGAAGUGCAGGUUCACACUUCUGACAUCCGUAGGCUGGACAAGAUGCAAGACAACGCUCAAUUCCAAACCGAAGCGUUUCAAGCGCAAAUGAUUGCAGCCCUCGCCGAACUAAGGGAACAACAAGCCGCUUUCGAUAGGCGUCUAAUGGAGUCAAAGCAAUCAGAUACGGAGUCAAGCUCCAAGCGCAACCUUCGACGCAAGUAGUGCUUGUCAAGGACUCAAAUUUUGUUAUAGCUUAGGACCUCGGCUAAAAGUCUUUAAAUUUCUCGAACUUUGUAAUCGGAGACCCUUAUAGGGGUCAAAUUUUCAUGAUCGUUGUAACAACUUUUAUAUUAAUAUAAGUGGCACUAUUACUACUAUGUUGAGUAUUUCGUUCGAACCUUGAAUGGUCUUUGUGAACCCAAAUACUUGUUUCAUACCUUCAGUCUUACAAAUAACUUUCAUUCUUCUAUUUUAAGACUCAUACUAUCAUCUGUUGUUGAACUAUAGCGAUUUAGUUCAUGAGACACAUACAUUUUCCAUUCUAUGAAAUUCUUAUCCUUGUCUUUUCAAUCUAUAGUUGAAGGAUGCCUCCGCGUAGGAAUCCAAGGCGAAACAACGGUGAGGAAGCACCUAUACCACCACCACCUCCACCACCCCAAUUUGAUGCUGUAAUGUUUCAAGCAGCAGUCACCGCAGCGGUGGCAGCUGCCAUGUCACAGAUCAAUAACUCGAGUGCUAAUGGCUCGGGAUCUGGCACACACCCAUCCAACCAUGGCGAGAGUCAUGGACCACCUCGAGAAUGCACCUAUAAGGACUUCACUAAUGCCAAGCCCCGGAUGUUUUAUGGUACUGGUGGUGUGAUGGCCCUGAGGCAGUGGAUUGAAAGGACGGAGGCAGUCUUUGAAAUCUGCUCCUGCCCCGAGCACAGCAAGGUCAAAUUUGCAACUUUCACCCUUCUCGAUAAAGCUUUAACUUGGUGGAAUGGCCACGUUAAAGUACUUACCCUAAUCGUGGCAAACUCCAUAAGCUGGGAGAGCUUGAAGGCCAUGAUGAUGAGAGAAUACUGCCCACGGGGAGAAAUUCAAAAGCUUGAACACGAGCUAUGGACUCUCGGAAUGGUGGGUACCGACAUCGCUACUUAUACCAACAGAUUCUGCGAACUGGCAAUCCUUUGUCCAGAUAUGAUUGCUCCCGAGAGCAAGAAGAUAGAAAGGUACAUCUGGGGACUGACGCCCCAAAUGCGAUCAAGCGUGUUAGCUUCUAAACCUGACACCUUUGAAAGUGCUAAGGAACUGGCACAAUCUCUGAUCGACUACGGAGGUCAUCAGAACUCAACCACUUCUGCACCAGCACCACAGAAAGGAAACAACAACAACAACAACAACAACAACAACAACAACAACAACAACAACAACAACAACAACAACAACAACAACAACAACAAUGGCAGAAAGAGAGUGUGGAAUAAAGGGAAGGGUGGGUCUUCCCAAGAAUCCGCAAAGAAACAACUGGUUUCAGUAAAUGCUGCCAUUGUACCUGCUACAGCCCCUACAAAUACCUACCCAACAAAGCCCUAUAUAGGCAACCUCCCAAAAUGCACCAAAUGCAAUUACCACCACCAUGGACCUUGUCGAGAUAUGCAGUGCGCCAACUGCAGCAGGAAAGGACACACAGCCCGUUUCUGCAAGGAACCCGCAAAGCCGAUCACUCAAGUUCCCGGUGCGGGUGUAGGGCAGGCUUGCUACGGUUGUGGCGAGGUGGGCCACUACAAGAGAAACUGUCCUAAGGCAGCAGGCACCGGAGGUGUGGGACGAGUUUUGGCAAUAGGCCACGACGAAGCUGUAGCUGACCCAACUAUAGUUGCUGGUACGUUCCUUCUCGAUAAUUCAUACGCAUGCAUAUUAUUCGAUAGUGGAGCGGAGAGAAGCUUCGUGAGUCAAAACUUUAUUCAUUUACUUAAACCUAAACCUAGCAAGUUAGAAAAAUCAUUCACUGUAGAGAUGGCCAAUGGAAAAACCGAAAACACAAAUUGCAUAUACAUGGGCUGUACGUUAACAUUAGACGGCCAUUCUUUCCCAAUCAAUCUCAUGCCGGUUCAAAUUAAAAGUUUCGACGUCAUAGUCGGCAUGGAUUGGUUGAGUCUUCUUCGCGCCGACAUCAUGUGCUUUGAGAAAGCAGUCCGUCUUAACCUCCCUAACAACGAAACAUUAGUUAUCUACGGCGACAAAUCUAGUACAAACCUUCGCAUCAUUUCGUGCAUCCAAGCUCGAAAGUGCUUGCGGAAGGAUUGUCGAGCAUUCCUAGCGCACAUCGUCGAUACAAGUCAAGAACUGAAGGACAUCAAGAGCAUCUCGGUAGUACGCGACUUUCCCGAUAUCUUUCCAGAAGAACUACCAGGAUUACCACCGCAACGCCAAGUCGAGUUCAGAAUCGACUUAAUUCCAGGAGCUACCCCAGUAGCGAAGUCGCCUUAUCGUCUUGCACCAGCAGAGAUGCAGGAACUUUCCAGUCAACUUAAUGAACUCCUUCACAAAGGAUUCAUAAGACCAAGUUUCUCACCUUGGGGAGCACCGGUCUUGUUUGUAAAGAAGAAAGACGGAUCGUUCCGUAUGUGCAUCGACUACAGAGAGCUGAACAAACUUACUGUCAAGAACCGCUAUCCUCUACCCCGUAUCGACGACCUAUUCGAUCAACUUCAAGGGGCGAACUACUUCUCCAAAAUAGACCUGCGAUCCGGAUAUCACCAAUUACGAGUUCUAGAGGGGGACAUUCCAAAGACAGCCUUCCGAACUCGUUAUGGACACUACGAAUUCGUGGUGAUGCCGUUCGGAUUAACCAAUGCACCAGCAGUAUUUAUGGACCUAAUGAAUAGGGUAUGCCGCCCUUACUUGGAUCAGUUCGUCAUCGUCUUUAUCGAUGAUAUACUUAUCUACUCUCGAAGUGAGGAAGAGCAUAGUCAACACCUACGAAAAGUCCUAGAAACACUGCGAACGGAGAAACUCUAUGCGAAGUUCUCUAAAUGCGAAUUUUGGAUUCGAAGAGUCGAAUUUUUAGGUCACGUUGUUAGCGAGAAAGGUAUACACGUGGACCCCUCCAAAAUUAAGGCUAUUGAGAACUGGUCGGCACCAAAGACACCUACAGAAAUUCGUCAAUUUCUAGGUCUAGCUGGCUACUAUCGCAGAUUCAUAAAGAACUUUUCGAGCAUUGCGAAACCUCUUACUUCAUUAACCCAGAAAGGUGUGGCCUUUGACUGGGAAGCGAAACAAGAGAAGGCAUUCCAGACACUAAAGCAGGCCUUGUGCACCGCACCGAUACUAUCCCUCCCCGAAGGGAUAGAAGACUUCGUAGUGUAUUGCGAUGCUUCAAAUCAAGGACUUGGUUGUGUUCUUAUGCAGAGAGGGAAGGUUAUCGCUUAUGCCUCCCGACAGCUUAAGACACACGAAGUGAACUAUACGACACACGACCUCGAGUUAGGAGCAGUGGUAUUUGCUCUGAAGAUCUGGAGGCACUACUUAUACGGAACAAAGAGUACUAUAUUCACCGAUCACAAGAGCCUUCAACACAUUUUCGAUCAGAAGGAACUCAACAUGCGACAACGACGAUGGGUUGAGUUACUGAAUGACUACGAAUGCGAAAUUCGUUAUCAUCCUGGCAAGGCCAACGUAGUAGCCGACGCCCUCAGUCGAAAGGAAUACACUGGUCGGAGGGUCAAAUCUCUGACCAUGACUAUCCAUUCCCACUUAUCCACACAAAUUAAGGAAGCACAAAUGGAAGCUUUGCAACCUGAAAAUGUGGCGGGUGAAUCCCUGCGAGGAAUGGAGAAGAAUUUAGAAGUCAAGGGUGGCGGAGCCUACUAUCUCAUGGACCGAAUCUGGACCCCAAAUCAUGGUGGUUUCAGAAACGUAGUCAUGACCGAGGCUCACAACUCAAGAUAUUCCGUUCACCCGGGUUCAGAUAAAAUGUAUCUGGAUCUUAAGAAACUGUACUGGUGGCCUAACAUGAAAGCAGAAAUUGCUACCUUCGUGAGUAAAUGUCUUACUUGCGCUAAGGUUAAGGUCGAGUAUCAGAAACCGUCAGGACUACUACAACAACCAGAGAUACCGGAAUGGAAAUGGGAGCGGAUUACUAUGGACUUCAUAACCAAGUUACCCAAGACGACAAGUGGACUCGAUACCAUAUGGGUCAUUGUCGACAGAUUGACCAAAUCCGCACAUUUCCUACCCAUCAAGGAGACUGACAAAAUGGAGAAGCUUACAAGAACUUACUUAAGGGAAGUAGUGCGACUGCAUGGUGUUCCGAUAUCCAUUAUCUCCGAUCGAGAUAGUAGAUUCACUUCAAGAUUCUGGCAGUCACUACAAAGUUCCCUGGGAACUAGGCUAGACAUGAGUACAGCCUACCACCCACAGACAGACGGACAAAGUGAGAGAACAAUACAAACUUUAGAAGACAUGCUGAGAGCCUGCGUGAUUGACUUUGGAAAGGCAUGGGAUAUUCAUUUACCCCUUGUCGAAUUUUCAUACAACAAUAGUUAUCAUACAAGCAUAAAGGCUGCUCCGUUUGAAGCCCUCUAUGGUCGAAAGUGCAGAUCCCCUCUGUGCUGGACUGAAGUUGGCGAUACCCAGUUAGCUAGAGGAAGAGUUCCUGAAAGCACUCUCACCGGUCCGGAGAUCAUACGUGAAACAACAGAGAAGAUCGUUCAGAUUCGUGAACGAUUGAAAGCCUCAAGAGACCGACAGAAAAGCUACGCUGACCAAAGGAGGAAACCUUUGGAAUUCCAGGUAGGAGACCACGUCUUAUUAAAGGUCUCACCGUGGAAGGGUUUAAUACGAUUUGGAAAGCGUGGGAAACUAAAUCCAAGAUACAUAGGGCCUUUCGAGAUUCUUGCCAGAAUCGGCCCUGUGGCUUACAAGCUUAACCUACCGCGCGAACUUAGUAACAUCCAUCCAACCUUCCACGUCUCAAACUUGAAAAAGUGUCUGUCCGACGAGACUCUUGUUAUUCCACUCGACGAGAUCGAGAUCAACGAGAGCCUCAACUUUGUGGAAGAACCAAUAGAAAUCAUGGACCGAGAGGUCAAACAAACAAAACAAAGUCGCAUACCCAAGUGAAGGUUCGCUGGAACGCCAAGCAGGGACCUGAAUUCACAUAGAACGCGAAGAUCAGAUGAAACAAAAGUACCCUCAUCUCUUUCAUGUUCACUAGUAUCUUUACUACUUUAAAUUUCGGGACGAAAUUCUCUCUAACGGGGGGAUGAUGUGACAACCCGAUAUUUCAACUCUUUGUAAUGACCUAAAAGGUCAAGUAUUGUAACCACUUUUGAGUUAAUAAAAUUAACUUUCAUAAUAAAAUGUCCAAAUAGUUCUAUUUAAAUUCCUUCUAUAUUUAAAUGUCUUUAAACCAUGAUCGUACGUAAAAAGAACGCCCAAAUCCGACUUCGUAUAUUGAAGUUAUGAUUUUUCCAAGUUCAGCUUAGCAACAGACAGCUAAAAACUCGAAUCGGAGAUCGAGCGACUUUUGGCCGGAAUGACCUAAACGAGAAUCGAAGGUCUCGACAAUGGUAUUUCAGCGGUAAAAAGUCUGGCAAAAACCGACAUCAGAUAAAGAAGUUAUGAAUUUUCAAAGAAAUUCCUUAAACACGAUGAGUUUAAAAUAAAUAAUAAAAAAAUAAUUUCGGAAUUUGCCGACGGAGUCUAAACGAAAGUUGUAGAGCGUAGUCUCACCUACGCGUGGAUAUAAAGACCAUCGAAAACGGAGUUCGUAUGAAGAAGAUAUGAAUUUUUGAAGUUUAUUAAAUAAAUUAUAUAUUUAUUUAAUUCAAAAUUCGGACCUUAUCCGAAGAGGAGUCAGCGUCCUCAUCCGAGGUACGCGCUGCGUACCCCUGUACGCCCUGCGUACCCGAGAGACUUGGCCUCUGAUCGUCCACGUCGCCCUAUCCGAGGCGUCCGACCCGUCCGAAGCGUCCGACCCGUCCGACCCGCUGUCCCGUCCGACCCGCCGUCCCAUCCGACCCGCCUCCCCAGCAACCCGUCCCAUCCGAAGCCGAGGCAGUCGAGGCUUCGGUCAUGCAUGACGUACGCGUACGCGCUGCGUACGAGCGUACGCCCCGCGUACCGAGGCAGUUCAGCCUUCCUAUAAAUAGGAUGCGAGGGCUUCCGAGAAAAGGGCUCAUUUCUCUCCUCUCUCUCACAAUCUUGCCUCGUUUUCCGUGCCCGUUCAAACCCGAAGCUCUGGUCUUUUUGCUCAAGUCCCGAGGGUCGAUUUUACUCCCGAGAUUCCCGAGAAUCCCGAGGAAAAUCCGUUUCCCGAGACGAAACUCUGCCCGGUUUUCCAUCUCGCUAUCUUCAAACUUUCAAGUGAGUUCAUACCCCUUAAUUUACCUUUUAAAUAUUCUAUAAAUUCUUUUAUAUGCUUUCAAGGGGGGGAUUACAAGUAAAACACACGAGUAUUAUCGUGUGUUACAUAAAGAAACUCUUUUAUAUGCUGUUAUAUAUCCAAAUCACAUGCGAUUUAUAAACUUUUAAGGAACUUUCAUAUAUAUAACAUAUGUUAAAAUAGCAUUCUAUCUUUUGAAAUAUAAAUUUGUUGUAAUGCAUGUAUAAACUAAACUUUUCUUAGAUUAUUCUUGUCUAUCUUAGACUCUACACCAAAAAUCUAUGCUUUCAUAAACAAGUGAUUCCUUUUCUAGGUAUUUCUAAACAAACGAGACACACUUUUAGAAAACUAUAAUAGGUAUAGUUUUACGAACAAAUUUCUAACUCUUAUGUACUAGAAACAUGAAUUUCAAGAAAUUCACUUUCGUAUACAAGAACAAACGUAACAUUUUAACAAGUAGAUCUGUUUUUAUACCACGGUUUUGUGAGACACUAACUUCAUGUACGUUCGAGUACACAUUUCAAGUCCUGUAUUAUAUACCAGAAUCCCUUGGAGGGGGAGCAUGGUGUUUGUGUAUAGAUCUAUACGGGCUUGACAACCCGCGCCCUGACUGUUAGCUGCAGUCCACCGUUUGGGGUGACAAACGUCAUAACAUUCCAACGCCUGAAGAACGUUGUGUAUAGGCAUUCCGAGUCAAUAGUAUGGUUAUAAAACUCACAAGGGGUAUUAAAAAUGCAUUGAUUUACAAGGUUUUCAAACUCAUUGGUUAUUUUACACUUACAUACAUUUUAGAAACAAACAUUGGUCUUGAGUGAAGGCUACUUUUAUACUAGUAGAAAAUAUAGGAUUUUCUAAACACAAACAAACAAAGACAAAACAUUUCAUUUCAUACAAACAUUGUCAUUUAAAUACUUAUGAAACUCACCACAAAUUAUUUUCAUGUUAUCCAACUAUACAAGUAUUUAGACAGGAUGACACACACAAAUCGAGGAAUGAUCGUAGCAAGCAACAAGUCAAAACUUACCAAACCAUUACUAGAAUCAAACACAAGAAUUUAAAAACUAUAGGAGUAUUUGCUAUCUAAACUAGUUUAACUUACAUGUUUUGCAUUUUUCAACUUUAUUCCAUUCUUAUUACCCUAAUCUCGUAUUUUGACAUCAUAUUGUAAUUGGUUUUGAACAUGUAACUUUUGACAAAUGUAAACUUUCAAUUAUAUAUAUGAUGGUUGUAUUGCUUUCUUUACUAUGUAUUCAUUUGUUACGUUACCACAUGAAGUCAUCCGCCCCCGAACAU